AGUGAAAUCAUCAUGCCAUAUGACCUUCUUGUUUUUGAAAUCUGGGUACCAAGGAAAAUCCAAAGAUUGGAACUAACUGGCUAAAAAUCAAACUAAUUGGGAAUACUUUAGCCAUAACUUAGUAGUCGUUUUUUCUAUCAUGCUGUCUUACUAAAAUCAAACGUCACAAUCUACGGGUGAAUAUUUCACAUGAAGAGUUUUAAGGGGUUUUCAGGUUUCAAAACACUUAGGCUCAGCUAUGUACUUGAGGACAUGUCUCAUGGGUGCACAUUGAUCUCCACUCACCUUCAGCGCACAAUGUUUGCAAAUGUUGUUGUGGUUGAGUCCUAGAAUUAGAUGAAGAGAAUAGAGCUGAGAUAGAGUGGUGGUGGUAAUCUCAAGUUAUCUUCCUUCUUGAUCUUCCAAGACUCAAUAAAUUUGGAAUGCAACAUUCACACUAAGCAAGCACCAAAGACCAGGGCUGCAGUUCGAAAGAGAAAGAGGGGCAUGUGCAAACAUCUGAAAGGGGAAAAAAGUCAGUAAAUGAGCUGGAGAAAUGAUCACGAGAUACCAGGAGCUGAACUGAGCUGUGGUGGCCAAAGGAUGGCAUUCAGCUCAUUCUGGCCUCAGAGGUAGGGAUGUUUGUGUGGAGGGGGUGUAGAGAGGAGUCCAUGUCGGUAUCCUUGUAUUAAAGGGGGUAGUGGUGAAGAAAGAAACCACUAGAAGAGACCCAUUGUGACAAGAUGGCUCAUUUCACAAGAUCUCUCACUCUCCAUUCCAGGUAGACAUUUGGAGAUGAUCUUCCCAGUCAAGUUGGCUUUGUAGGAGGAGGAGUAGGGGUGGCCAGAGCCUAGAGAUCAAAAUCCUCUUAGAAAAUACAGUUGAAUAGGGAGUAAAUACCAUGAGAAGAAUAGUUCUUGGCUAGCUUACUGGUCCCUGAAGAAGGAAGAAAGACAUGUGGAGCAUAGCUGAAAUCAGCCAAACCUCCUGUAAGAAAAUGCCCAGGAUUGCUUGUGUGCCCAAGGGAAAGGUAUCAAAUCAUUUUUCCUUACAAAGACAAUUCACAAUCUUUGCAAACUUAUUGUGUGAUUAAAGAUAAGGUGUU
rnacentral:lncRNA from 1 species